GUUCAUGUAGUUUAGUAAAAACAGUAAACUUUCUAUUUGAAGACCCUCUGGAAUGAGAGGCAUGGGCU
rnacentral:tRNA from 1 species